AUUGGACCAGUUAUAAAUUCACCUGAUUGUCUUAUUAUCUAGCCCACAGUUCUCCUCCUUGUCAAUAAGGAGAGCAAGAGAGGCUUAGUCAAAUGCUUUGCUCAGAUCAAGAUAAGCUAUAUGUGUAGUACUCUCAAUCUACCAGUUUAGUGAUCCCAUCAGAAAACAAAAACAAAAAACCCCCAAACAAAUGAAAUUAGUCCUGUUCUUAAUAUGUUCCAGAUUUUCCCCAGGAAUUAAGAUCAUGCUGCCUGGCCUGAUUUACAGAUUCCACUCUCUUCCCAGUUUAUGUCAGCAACAUUUCCCUAACCUCAGAUUUCCUGAAUUUGGGAUGGAGAAGAACUUUUGUUUCCCUUUCCACUUGCUGAUGCUGCUCCCUUAAUUUAGAACAAACGGUGUGUGAAGAGCUGAUCAUUUGUUCAUGGUCACAGCUGGGGUGAGUUGGGACAUCUCCUGACUCCCAGUUCAAAUC